CGAUGUGGGUGGUAGGUGGUGCUACUAUCGGUAUGUGAGCUAUCAAAUUUUGUAGCAGUUUUCCAGGCAGGACAACGUCUGCCGGGUCCGCUAGUUAAUGUAUAAUUGUCAUCUCUUUUAUUAUAAACUAGCGACCUCUGUUUGUCCAUAUUUUUUACACUAUAAGUAAUCACCAACAUAUCAUAUACCAAUUAAAACCUUCUUCGAAACACGCUGCAUCUUAUGGUAUAAAUAUUAUUCUGAUUGGUUGAGGACUUUUCGCAAUAUAACCGAACAAAAAAACCGGCUCUCCAUUUUUUAGAAGUAAAGAUAAUGAUUGUCAUAUGUAAUGUCAACAUGUUGUUCGUUUCACUGUUGAUAAGUAGGUAAUUGUUAAUUAACAUAUUUGCCUUUCUCUUGUUUGUUAAAAAUACGCUGCGAUAUCUUCAAUCUAUUGUUUGUGUGUGUUGGGUUUAAAAUUAAAAGCAAAGGCACUAAUAAACAGUGUGCAAAAACUAAGUACCUAAAUAAUUUUGAGAGCAUUGGGGAAAACGUUACAGAGUGAAAGGCAAUUAAAUUAAAAUAAUCAUAUUACGUAAUUUAAGCUUUAUAUUUUUAUCACAAGGAUAGAUCUAUUGUUAAUUAACUGCUCAUUAAAGCUUUAUGCCUUAAAUA
rnacentral:misc_RNA from 1 species